UGGGGAAUCUUGCGCAAUGGGCGAAAGCCUGACGCAGCGACGCCGCGUGAGCGAUGAAGGCCUUCGGGUUGUAAAGCUCUGUGGACAGGAAAGAAUAAGGGCAAGCUAACACCUUGUCUGAUGACGGUACCUGUUUAGCAAGCACCGGCUAACUCUGUGCCAGCAGCCGCGGUAAGACAGAGGGUGCAAACGUUGUUCGGAAUCACUGGGCGUAAAGCGCAUGUAGGCGGCAAUGCAAGUCGGAUGUGAAAUCCCGCGGCUCAACCGUGGAAGUGCACCCGAAACUGCAUCGCUUGAGUGUCGGAGAGGAAGGUGGAAUGCUUGGUGUAGAGGUGAAAUUCGUAGAUAUCAAGCGGAACACCGGUGGCGAAGGCGGCCUUCUGGACGACAACUGACGCUG
rnacentral:rRNA from 1 species